UACGUAGGUGGCAAGCGUUGUCCGGAAUUAUUGGGUGUAAAGCGCGCGCAGGCGGCCUCUUAAGUCUGAUGUGAAAGCCCCCCGGCUCAACCGGGGAGGGCCAUUGGAAACUGGGAGGCUUGAGUAUAGGAGAGAAGAGUGGGAUUCCACGUGUAGCGGUGAAAUGCGUAGAGAUGUGGAGGAACACCAGUGGCGAAGGCGACUCUUUGGCCUAUAACUGACGCUGAGGCGCGAAAGCGUGGGGAGCAAACAGG
rnacentral:rRNA from 1 species